CAGAGACUUAGAACCCAAGAAAAGGUUUUCCUGAUCAAAAUCUUCGUGUUUCCCAUCUGGGUUUUUAAAUUUUCGAGCUUUCGUCGAUCAGAACGGCUCGCUUUGUUUAAUUUGUUGUUUUCAUCCAUGUUUUUAUUUUCAAUUCUUAAUCUAUAAGUUUCCAUUCCUAUUUUUUACCAAUUGACUAUUUCACUACCCAGGUUUUUCGAGGCGGAGGUGUUAAAUCU
rnacentral:misc_RNA from 1 species